ensembl:lncRNA
GAGGGAAGCUGGGCAGAGAGUCCACCCACAUCUAAGCCGUUUCACAGUGGCAUCUGUAAUAAGAAAAUUCCGACUAGAAAACAGAAUGACUCGAAGACCUUCUGGGGGAGGACGCCAACGCCUGUUCACACAACGGCAGGAACUUGCCGUUGUGGACCUAGUGAGGGCAGACAAUGCUAUCCGUCUCCACCAGCUACGAAAGCAAAUACUUGCAGACAGGCAAGUGUUCAACAACAUAAACCAUGUGAGCAUCACCACCAUCAGACGCAUCUUGGGAAAACACAGCAUCACCAUGAAGCAACUCUACAGAGUCCCAUUUGAGAGGAACAGUGACAGGGUCAAAGGACUUCGAGCUGAAUAUGUACCAUAUCAGUACCACAUGAAUACAUUCUGAGAGCUACACAGAGAAUCUUGGCCAUGGAUGGAGCUGCACAGCCUCAUGAAUUCAUUUUCAUUGAUGAAGCUGGAUUCGACCUGUGCAAAACAAGACGACGGGGUCGUAAUGUAAUUGGCCAAAGGGCAAUUGUGCACGUUCCAGGGCAGCGCGGGGGAAAUAUCACAUUGUGUGCCGCCAUAAGCCUUCGACGGCUUCUGCAUCAUCAUGCAAAACUAGGUCCAUACAAUAGCCAACAUAUACUCACAUUUCUAGAUCUCCAUGAUAUAGUUGUACAGAAUAGACCAGAUCAGCCCAGGUUUGUGGUGAUAUGGGAUAAUGUCAGUUUCCAUCGGGCUGCUCUGGUCCAGGCCUGGUUCUCCAACCACAGUCAACUUGAAGUGGUAUGCUUGCCCCCUUACCCACCAUUUUUAAACCCUAUAGAGGAAUUUUUUUCGGCUUGGAGAUGGCGUGUAUAUGACCGCCAACUACAUGCCUGCAUGCCUCUUCUGCAGGCAAUGGAACAGGCCUGCGGCGACAUUCAGGUGACAGCAAUCCAUGGAUGGUUUUGACAUGGAAGAGGAUAUUUUCCCCGGUGCCUAGCGGGAGAAGACAUUGCUUGCGAUGUUGAUGAGGUCCUGUGGCCAGACCCCAACAGACGGCGGGAUCCAUGAGCCCACGUAUGCACAAUUGUCAUGAUUUUUUGUUUACAGUAUAGUGUUUUUUCUAUUACUGUAUUAUGGGUUGUUUUUUUUUUUUUUUUUUUUUUGCUUUAUCUGAAUUCAUGGUACUGCAAUGUACAAUAUUGAGUAGGCCUAUUUGCUUUUUUGGUUGUUUGCAAAUGUGUCUCCUGCCUUCUGAAUGAACAAUGGAAAUCAAAGACUGCAGUGCUUUAUAUAAAGAAGACUAGUGUGUUCCCCCUGCUCUGUAGGUGUUUGCAUAUGAUGCAAGUAUGUGUCAUUUUGUCAACAGAGUUACAUUUUGACAAAGGAAUGUUAGGUUUUGAUAGCAGAGUUUAGGUUUUGAGAGUAGAGUUUCAAUUUGGUGCAGAUGUGAAUGGUAUAUUUCCCAGUGUUGUGUCAUGUUUACUUGUGUUUAGGGUUUUGGCACAAUGAGCAAAGUUUUGCAAAAUGUGUUCAGGCAAUGGGCAAAAACUGUAAAAGUGUUGAAUGUUAUAUAGAGAACAUUUAUGCAUUGAAAAAAAGUGCUUCUGUGAAUAGAUGAAUGAGAUCUGCUGUAUAAAGCACUUUGAGGGCUCAGGUAGAGUAGAAAAGUGCUCUAUACGAAGCUGUCCAUUUUGCAAAAGAUGCCUUUUACAUCAGUAAUUAUUCACAUAAAUUUAAAUCCAUGGUGUAAGAUGUCUCUGCAACAGCUCAUCGCACCUCCACUGCAUUAAAGUCUGUGCUUGGUCCUGAGUGUGGUUGUUGGUGGUGGUGUAUGUGUGGCUGGCAGCUGAAAAGCUGUUACAGAGAACAGCAACUGAGGAUUAAAGUGUUACA